GACCACUCCGGUAGCCUAGUGGUUAGAGCGUCCGUCUCGGAUGUGUGAAGUCGUGGAUUCGAUCCCCAGCCGAGUCA